ensembl:lncRNA
CUGCUCUUCCUCUCCAGAUAUCUUCCAGUUCCUCUUCCUCCUGCUGGAAUAGCCAGUGGCCUGGCUUAAGAAGCUCCUCCAUGCUGAUGUCAGCUGCUCUCUUAGAGCGUGCCAGUUCACCUGGAUCCAUCCCAGCAUGCUUUGCAACUCAUCUGUUCUCUCCUUGAUCUAAAGACAGGAAGAUUAUAAUCAAGAAAACAUCAUAACGAACAUUCUGCAGAUGGACGCUGCAUAUUUAGACAGCUGACAUCGCUUUUAGAUAACCACGUGGCAGCUAGACAUUGUCCAGCUUGGAACAGCUGCUCUCCGACAGUGAGUCCCGACUGCCUACAGAACAUUCCUCAACCGGACUCCACAUCCUAUGGGUCCACAGGCCUUGAGAGCACUGCAGAAAUACACGUUCAGGC